CACACUGUUAUUUCAUAGAGUUAUGUAAUGUGAUUGCCAAGAUGGAAUAGAGAACAAAACUGUCUAUUCAUAGAGUUAUGGAAUGUGAUUGCAACAAUGGAAUAGAGAACAAAACUGUCUAUUCAUAGAGUUAUGGAAUGUAGACUUGUUUUUUUCACUAUAACUUUAGUAUAGGUCAAUAGAAAUCUAUGAAAUUUAAACACAAGGUUUAUGACCAAAAAAGGAAGAUUGGGAUUGAUUUUGGGAGUUUUGGUCCCAACAGUUUAGGAAUUAGGGGCCAAAAAAGGGCCCAAUCUUGCAUUAUUCUUGGUUUUCGCACAAUAACUUUAGUAUAAGCAUUUUCUUGGUUUUUUCGCACUAUAACUUUAGUUUAAUUUAAUAGAAAUCUA
rnacentral:lncRNA from 1 species